rnacentral:rRNA from 1 species
AAAUUGAAGAGUUUGAUCAUGGCUCAGAUUGAACGCUGGCGGCAGGCCUAACACAUGCAAGUCGAGCGGAAACGAGUUAACUGAACCUUCGGGGAACGUUAACGGCGUCGAGCGGCGGACGGGUGAGUAAUGCCUAGGAAAUUGCCCUGAUGUGGGGGAUAACCAUUGGAAACGAUGGCUAAUACCGCAUAAUGCCUUCGGGCCAAAGAGGGGGACCUUCGGGCCUCUCGCGUCAGGAUAUGCCUAGGUGGGAUUAGCUAGUUGGUGAGGUAAGGGCUCACCAAGGCGACGAUCCCUAGCUGGUCUGAGAGGAUGAUCAGCCACACUGGAACUGAGACACGGUCCAGACUCCUACGGAGGCAGCAGUGGGGGGACUGAGACACGGGGCAGAACGGUCCAGACUCCUACGGGAGGCAGCAGUGGGGAAUAUUGCACAAUGGGCGCAAGCCUGAUGCAGCCAUGCCGCGUGUAUGAAGAAGGCCUUCGGGUUGUAAAGUACUUUCAGCAGUGAGGAAGGUGGUGUAGUUAAUAACUGCAUCAUUUGACGUUAGCUGCAGAAGAAGCACCGGCUAACUCCGUGCCAGCAGCCGCGGUAAUACGGAGGGUGCGAGCGUUAAUCGGAAUUACUGGGCGUAAAGCGCAUGCAGGUGGUCUGUUAAGUCAGAUGUGAAAGCCCGGGGCUUAACCUCGGAAUUGCAUUUGAAACUGGCAGACUAGAGUACUGUAGAGGGGGGUAGAAUUUCAGGUGUAGCGGUGAAAUGCGUAGAGAUCUGAAGGAAUACCGGUGGCGAAGGCGGCCCCCUGGACAGAUACUGACACUCAGAUGCGAAAGCGUGGGGAGCAAACAGGAUUAGAUACCCUGGUAGUCCACGCCGUAAACGAUGUCUACUUGGAGGUUGUGGCCUUGAGCCGUGGCUUUCGGAGCUAACGCGUUAAGUAGACCGCCUGGGGAGUACGGUCGCAAGAUUAAAACUCAAAUGAAUUGACGGGGGCCCGCACAAGCGGUGGAGCAUGUGGUUUAAUUCGAUGCAACGCGAAGAACCUUACCUACUCUUGACAUCCAGAGAAGCCAGUAGAGAUACAGGUGUGCCUUCGGGAGCUCUGAGACAGGUGCUGCAUGGCUGUCGUCAGCUCGUGUUGUGAAAUGUUGGGUUAAGUCCCGCAACGAGCGCAACCCUUAUCCUUGUUUGCCAGCGAGUAAUGUCGGGAACUCCAGGGAGACUGCCGGUGAUAAACCGGAGGAAGGUGGGGACGACGUCAAGUCAUCAUGGCCCUUACGAGUAGGGCUACACACGUGCUACAAUGGCGCAUACAGAGGGCAGCAAGCUAGCGAUAGUGAGCGAAUCCCAAAAAGUGCGUCGUAGUCCGGAUUGGAGUCUGCAACUCGACUCCAUGAAGUCGGAAUCGCUAGUAAUCGUGGAUCAGAAUGCCACGGUGAAUACGUUCCCGGGCCUUGUACACACCGCCCGUCACACCAUGGGAGUGGGCUGCAAAAGAAGUAGGUAGUUUAACCUUCGGGAGAACGCUUACCACUUUGUGGUUCAUGACUGGGGUGAAGUCGUAACAAGGUAGCCCUAGGGGAACCUGGGGCUGGAUCACCUCCUUAUACGAUGAU